rnacentral:rRNA from 1 species
UACGUAGGGUGCGAGCGUUAAUCGGAAUUACUGGGCGUAAAGAGUGCGUAGGCGGUUCGUUAUGUCUGCUGUGAAAGCCCCGGGCUUAACCCGGGAAUGGCAGUGGAAACUGGCGGGCUUGAGUGUGGCAGAGGGGGGUGGAAUUCCGCGUGUAGCAGUGAAAUGCGUAGAUAUGCGGAGGAACACCGAUGGCGAAGGCAAUCCCCCUGGGCCUGCACUGACGCUCAUGCACGAAAGCGUGGGGAGCAAACAGG